rnacentral:rRNA from 1 species
CCUACGGUGGACAGCAGUGAGGAAUAUUGGUCAAUGGACGAGAGUCUGAACCAGCCAAGUAGCGUGAAGGAUGACUGCCCUAUGGGUUGUAAACUUCUUUUAUAAAGGAAUAAAACGAGGCACGUGUGCCUUUUCUCAUGUACUUUAUGAAUAAGGAUCGGCUAACUCCGUGCCAGCAGCCGCGGUAAUACGGAGGAUCCGAGCGUUAUCCCGAUUUAUUGGGUUUAAAGGGAGCGUAGAUGGGUUGUUAAGUCAGUUGUGAAAGUUUGGGGGUCAACCGUCAAAUUGCAAUUGAUACUGGCAGUCUUGAGUACAGUUGAGGUAGGCGGAAUUCGUGGUGUAGCGGUGAAAUGCUUAGAUAUCACGAAGAACCCCGAUUGCGAAGGCAGCUUACUAAACUGUGACUGACAUUGAUGCUCGAAAGUGUGGGUAUCAAACAGGAUUAGAUACCCCGGUAGUC